GUGGGGAAUUUUGCGCAAUGGGCGAAAGCCUGACGCAGCAACGCCGCGUGGAGGAUGAAGGUCUUCGGAUCGUAAACUCCUGUCAGGGGGGACGAAAACCCCGCAAGGGGUCUGACUGUACCCUCUGAGGAAGCCACGGCCAACUCCGUGCCAGCAGCCGCGGUAAUACGGAGGUGGCAAGCGUUGUUCGGAAUUACUGGGCGUAAAGGGCGCGUAGGCGGCAUGGCAAGUCAGAUGUGAAAUCCCCGAGCUUAACUUGGGAAUUGCAUCUGAAACUGCUUUGCUUGAGUCCUGGAUGGGGUAGUGGAAUUCCCAGUGUAGCGGUGAAAUGCGUAGAUAUUGGGAGGAACACCAGUGGCGAAGGCGGCUACCUGGACAGUGACUGACGCUGAGGCGCGAAAGCUAGGGGAGCGAACGGGAUUAGAUACCCCUGUAGUCC
rnacentral:rRNA from 1 species